rnacentral:tRNA from 1 species
AGCAGAGUAGUGUAACGGUCAACACGGCAGGCUCAUAACCUGUAAAUUACCGGUUCGAAUCCGGUCUCUGCGACCA